UUCUCCUUGGGCUGCCUUCGAACUACCCUCAGAUCUCAGCCUCCCGAGUAACUAGGAUAACAGGCAUGAGCCACCAACACCAAGCUUAGACAGACUCGCAUACCAGGUUCCAUUGUGUGUAAUGAGAAUAUUAAUAACAGCUAACUUUGCUUUCAGGCAUUUCUGUAGUAUUUGAACUAUGCACCAUAUGUUUUCUCCUUUAAUUAUAACAACUUCUAGUGUUCUCAUUUUAAGAGCUAAAGAUAGUGGGAAUGCGAGCAAUUUCUCUCACAUGAUUCAGCUAGGAAGUGGCAGGGCUAAAAGUGAAUACUACCACCUCAGAACUGGAUCCUUAAAUGUACUGUGGUGACAAUGUAUGUACUCAGUGCAGUGCUUACCUCACACAGCUCUCCUGUUGUCAUUUUAGCUAGGGACCAUGUUGUGCUGGAGACUUUUAAUCAUUCAUAUGUAUCUGUAGGAAAGUCCUUCAUAUUUCUACUGGAAACUGUUCUAGGCCCAUUGAUCUCAACUUGGGGUGAUUCUUCCAGCUUGCUAUCUGGAGACAUUUUUGUUUUUCACAAUUGGGGAGGAUAAAUACUACAGGAUAGAGCCUAGUCUAAGGUGUAAGCAGAAUGCUGUUGCUGACUCCUGUCUAAAAGAGGUUCUCUGUUACCUGCUGAUUGGACUUUGUUGAAAUACAAAUAUUCAUAUGUGAUAUGUUCAGCUCACAGGGGUAAAACAUAAACAGGAUCACAAAAAUAGAGACUGUUUCAAAAGAAAAUAACAAUAUACAGACAGUCUGGGACUUUUCCUCAAAAGAAGGACUAGUCAUUUGGGAGAAGC